rnacentral:rRNA from 1 species
GACGAACGCUGGCGGCGUGCUUAACACAUGCAAGUCGAACGGAAAGGCCCUGCUCUUGUGGGGUGCUCGAGUGGCGAAAGGGUGAGUAACACGUGAGUAACCUGUCCCUGUCUUUGGGGUAACUUCUGGAAACUGGGGCUAAUACCGGAUAGGAUCUCCUGCUGCAUGGUGGGGGUUGGAAAGAUUCGGCGGUUGGGGCUGGACUCGCGGCUUAUCAGCUUGUUGGUGGGGUAGUGGCUUACCAAGGCUUUGACGGGUAGCCGGCCUGAGAGGGUGACCGGCCACAUUGGGACUGAGAUACGGCCCAGACUCCUACGGGAGGCAGCAGUGGGGAAUAUUGCACAAUGGGCGGAAGCCUGAUGCAGCAACGCCGCGUGCGGGAUGACGGCCUUCGGGUUGUAAACCGCUUUCGCCUGUGACGAAGCGUGAGUGACGGUAAUGGGUAAAGAAGCACCGGCUAACUACGUG